GUGUCAGCAGCCGCGGUAAUACGUAGGGUGCGAGCGUUAAUCGGAAUUACUGGGCGUAAAGCGUGCGCAGGCGGUUCUGCAAGUCAGAUGUGAAAUCCCCGGGCUUAACCUGGGAACUGCGUUUGAAACUACGGAGCUAGAGUACGGCAGAGGGGGGUGGAAUUCCACGUGUAGCAGUGAAAUGCGUAGAUAUGUGGAGGAACACCGAUGGCGAAGGCAGCCCCCUGGGCCGAUACUGACGCUCAGGCACGAAAGCGUGGGGAGCAAACAGGAUUAGAAACCCCCGUAGUCC
rnacentral:rRNA from 1 species